rnacentral:misc_RNA from 1 species
CGCACCUUGCGCUCCUUGGUAUUCCGAGGAGCAUGCCUGUUUGAGUGUCUUGUUAAUCAUCAACCUUUGCUCGCUUUUGCGAGUGAAGGCUUGGAUUUGGGGCUGCCGGCGUUCGCGUCGGCUUCCCUUGAAUGCAUUAGUGUUGGCUCCGGCGAACCUUGGGUGUAAUAAUAUUUCACUCUCCGGUUGGCUUUUGGAGGUUCCGAUGCUUAUAACCGUCCCUUCCGGGACAAUCACACUUUGACUUUUGACCUCAAAUCAGGUAGGACUACCCGCUGAACUUAA